CAUGAAAAAUUUUUAUUCUAAUAUUUUUGAUAAGGUAAUUAAGUUAAAUAAAGUCUCUCACAUAUCAUGCGUUAUAAUUUACCCGUUUAUAAUUAACAAAUCACAGUACUUUUCUUAUCAUUCUGAUUCUUAUACUAAAAAAAAAUCAUGUCUGAGAUUUUGGACUACUGUAUAAAUUAAAUUAAAUUAAAAAAAAAUCUAAUCGGAAUUGUCGGGCAGUUGGGUACUCUUCCUUGUCAGAGUAAUAACUGACUCAGAAAACAGAAGAAUUUAAAUCUGAUAGUGAUAACUGAAGUCUAAAUUUUAUCAACGAAAUCUGUACUUGCGGUACCCUAAAUGCGAUAUUUCAAUACAAUACCAAA